rnacentral:rRNA from 1 species
UACACUCCUGCGGGAGGCAGCAGUGGGGAAUUUUGGACAAUGGGCGAAAGCCUGAUCCAGCAAUGCCGCGUGAGUGAAGAAGGCCUUCGGGUUGUAAAGCUCUUUUGUCAGGGAAGAAACGGUGAAAGCUAAUAUCUUUUGCUAAUGACGGUACCUGAAGAAUAAGCACCGGCUAACUACGUGCCAGCAGCCGCGGUAAUACGUAGGGUGCAAGCGUUAAUCGGAAUUACUGGGCGUAAAGCGUGCGCAGGCGGUUUUGUAAGUCUGAUGUGAAAUCCCCGGGCUCAACCUGGGAAUUGCAUUGGAGACUGCAAGGCUAGAAUCUGGCAGAGGGGGGUAGAAUUCCACGUGUAGCAGUGAAAUGCGUAGAUAUGUGGAGGAACACCGAUGGCGAAGGCAGCCCCCUGGGUCAAGAUUGACGCUCAUGCACGAAAGCGUGGGGAGCAAACAGGAUUAGAUACCCCUGUAGUCCC